GGAGGGGGAUAACUACUGGAAACGGUAGCUAAUACCGCAUAACGUCGCAAGACCAAAGAGGGGGACCUUAGGGCCUCUUGCCAUCGGAUGUGCCCAGAUGGGAUUAGCUAGUAGGUGGGGUAACGGCUCACCUAGGCGACGAUCCCUAGCUGGUCUGAGAGGAUGACCAGCCACACUGGAACUGAGACACGGUCCAGACUCCUACGGGAGGCAGCAGUGGGGAAUAUUGCACAAUGGGCGCAAGCCUGAUGCAGCCAUGCCGCGUGUAUGAAGAAGGCCUUCGGGUUGUAAAGUACUUUCAGCGGGGAGGAAGGGAGUAAAGUUAAUACCUUUGCUCAUUGACGUUACCCGCAGAAGAAGCACCGGCUAACUCCGUGCCAGCAGCCGCGGUAAUACGGAGGGUGCAAGCGUUAAUCGGAAUUACUGGGCGUAAAGCGCACGCAGGCGGUUUGUUAAGUCAGAUGUGAAAUCCCCGGGCUCAACCUGGGAACUGCAUCUGAUACUGGC
rnacentral:rRNA from 1 species